rnacentral:rRNA from 1 species
GACGAACGCUGGCGGCGUGCCUAAUACAUGCAAGUCGAACGCAGUGGGGACGGGUGCGUAACACGUGGGUAACCUCCCAUCAGAGGGGAGAACACUUGGAAACAGGUGCUAAACCGAUACUGGUGGAUCAACCCGCGGUGCAUUAGCGAGUUGGUGGGGUAACGGCUCACCAAGGCCACGAUGCAUAGCCGGCCUGAGAGGGUGAUCGGCCACACUGGAACUGAGACACGGCCCAGACUCCUACGGGAGGCAGCAGUAGGGAAUCUUGGGCAAUGGGCGAAAGUCUGACCCAGCCAUGCCGCGUGAGUGAAGAAGGUUUUCGGAUUGUAAAGCUCUUUUGGUAGGGAAGCGUUAUCUAACCAGAAAGCCACGGCUAACUACGUGCCAGCAGCCGCGGUAAUAC